rnacentral:rRNA from 1 species
UACAGAGGUGGCAAACGUUGUUCGGAUUUACUGGGCGUAAAGGGUGCGUAGGUGGGAUCGUAUGUCGGAUGUGAAAUCUCACUGCUCAAUGGUGAAACUGCAUUCGAAACUGCGAUUCUGGAGGUCAUGAGGGGAGAGCGGAAUUCUUGGUGUAGCGGUGAAAUGCGUUGAUAUCAAGAAGAACACCGGUGGCGAAGGCGGCUCUCUGGCAUGAUUCUGACACUGAGGCACGAGAGUUGGGGGAGCAAACAGG